CUGCCUGUAAGACUGGGAUAACUUCGGGAAACCGAAGCUAAUACCGGAUAGGAUCUUCUCCUUCAUGGGAGAUGAUUGAAAGAUGGUUUCGGGCUAUCACUUACAGAUGGGCCCGCGGUGCAUUAGCUAGUUGGUGAGGUAACGGCUCACCAAGGCCACGAUGCAUAGCCGACCUGAGAGGGUGAUCGGCCACACUGGGACUGAGACACGGCCCAGACUCCUACGGGAGGCAGCAGUAGGGAAUCUUCCGCAAUGGACGAAAGUCUGACGGAGCAACGCCGCGUGAGUGAUGAAGGCUUUCGGGUCGUAAAACUCUGUUGUUAGGGAAGAACAAGUACAAGAGUAACUGCUUGUACCUUGACGGUACCUAACCAGAAAGCCACGGCUAACUACGUGCCAGCAGC
rnacentral:rRNA from 1 species